GACGAACGCUGGCGGCGUGCUUAACACAUGCAAGUCGAACGGAAAGGCCCUGCUUUUGUGGGGUGCUCGAGUGGCGAACGGGUGAGUAACACGUGAGUAACCUGCCCUUGACUUUGGGAUAACUUCAGGAAACUGGGGCUAAUACCGGAUAGGAGCUCCGGCUGCAUGGGGGGGGUGGGAAAUUUUCGGCGGUUGGGGAUGGACUCGCGGCUUAUCAGCUUGUUGGUGGGGUAGUGGCUUACCAAGGCUUUGACGGGUAGCCGGCCUGAGAGGGUGACCGGCCACAUUGGGACUGAGAUACGGCCCAGACUCCUACGGGAGGCAGCAGUGGGGAAUAUUGCACAAUGGGCGGAAGCCUGAUGCAGCAACGCCGCGUGCGGGAUGACGGCCUUCGGGUUGUAAACCGCUUUCGCCUGUGACGAAGCGUGAGUGACGGUAAUGGGUAAAGAAGCACCGGCUAACUACGUG
rnacentral:rRNA from 1 species